GGGCCGUCCAUUUUGCUCCAUCCCAUGUAGAACUCUCGCGGAGCCGCUGCCUGCUGUCCCCCUUGAUCCCUCGUCCUUCGUCUCCGCCUCCUCCCCCCUCUAGAUCCUCUGCCGCCGCCACUCGAUGCCACCAUCGCCAGAGCUUCCAUCUGCGUACCACAUCCUACCCCCUCCCCCUUCACUCGCCCCAACAGGUUCCUUAUCCGAUUUCGAGGAGAGGUCUCCCUCUCGGAUCCUACGCUGCCAUCGCUCCGAUGAGGGCCACGGCGGUCGGGUCCAGGAAUUGUUGGGUCGCGGCGAGGCGAUCCUCAUGGUCGCGCGCAGGCGCGAGGUGAGGCUUGUGAGACGUGUGACCUUCUCUCUGGUACUCUUGCUCCAUCCUUCGUCUCCCUCUCCCCCUCCAAAUCUGUGCGUAGGGGUGACAUGAGAACGGUUAGGGGCAAAGCGUUUGCUACAAAUCGUUGGUAGAGCUAGCGGACAGAGGCGACAGGAGCGUGUGGCUGGCCGAUGCAGUCACCAAGAGGUCGCUGUGGGGGACCUUUCCUGGAUUUAGGGAACCUCUAUGCGACUGGCGGUGUGCCAGCAUGAGGUCUGCAGCGACCAUCUGCCCUAGAGGACGAUGCCUUGCUGCCAGCCCAUAAUGGCUCAUGAGCAGUGCGAAGCAGUGACAAGGUAAACAUUCUUCAUAAGUGAGUUUCAAGGUUUUGUCUGAUACUGCAAUACGUUAUUAGGAUAUCCUGGUAUGAUGAAAUUUUCGGGUUCAUUUGUGUCAUUUCUCAUCUAUAUAUUGAUUUGUUGCAUCAGUUUUAUUUGACAUGCACAUCUUUUAGAUAUAUUGAAAUUACAAAUAUGACAUUUGUAUGUAUGCAUAUUCAAAAAGACUGAAUAGAAGAUUCACUAAAAGCAUCUCACGAUGAUGUACUGCUUCUAGAAAACCUGGUUAAAGGCUUUCUCGGCAUCCCUCUUUUUCUCAAGAAAAAUUCUAUCUUAUACAAUUUUUCUUACUUUGUGUUCAAUUGAUUUUAAAACACAAUAAAAGAUUAUUCUAACUACACUAGUUGUUCAUAUAUUCAUUAAACUUCGUUUGCAUUUGAAUUUAAGAUUAGUUUUUAUUCUCAAUUCAAGUGCCAAAUCUUAAGAUCAUAAGUGGUUCAUGUACAACGUAAUCUCAUUAAACCUCUUAUAUUGCUAUUGUUUAUAUUUAUUCAUUGUGGUACUCACGUGUGGCCAUCAAAAUGUAAAUGGUUUCCCUUACCAAAAAGUGGGAGGUGUCCAUCGUAUACUCUUGUUUCCAAAUACCACAAGAUUUGGAAGGCUCAACUGUUCUUAUCAUUAAGUACUUAUUUCAGAUGUUAUUUAUUUCUUCAAAGCAAUUUAUCCUGGAGUGUCGGACCAUCACUUUAUCCUGUUCAUUUUCAGAACACACAACCAUUUAUUUCUGUUAUCUCGUUUGUUCAUGUAACCUCUGAAACUUUACAGUGCUUGCUAUCAUCACUGCUGAUGUAAACGUAACCAUCCUUCAGCAGUCUUUGUUUUACGAGUUGAAUUAAUUUGUACUUCAGCUCAGACUUACCACAUGUAGGGUCAUUCUAAGUAUCUUGACUUAUUUGCUGGAAUUAAUUUAGCUCCUUCUAGCUUAUGUCUUUGUGAAAUUUCUAGAAGCCAGCGUUAAUGGUUUGUUCAUAGGGUUCUUUCAAACUUUUGCUCACUGACCUUGGCAAGUUCCAGCCCAUAGUGAUGCCUUGUACCUGCUUGCAUUCAGAGGAGUAUUUCAUGCCCAUAGUGAUGUCUUGUACCUUGCCAGAGUUUUGUGUGUCCAAUGUGACAAGAGACAGCUUCAAAAAAUAAGAGAGGAACUUAGGCGUGGUUACACUUUGACAGGGGUGAGUCUAAAAUCAAUUCAAGUUAUUUUGGUGGUAAAUGGUAGAUUUAUCUUGACUGAUCAUAUCAACAAAUCCAUGCAUUGCAUGGAUCACACUCAUCCUUCCAGCACCAUGUCUGACUUGCUCUUCCUACUAGCAUGGGUUGGUAUAUGGUGGUUAUCGCCUCUCAUGUUGCUGUAUUUUCCUUAAUUGGAUUUACAUGUAAAAUUUUUAAGAUUGUGCAGGCCAACUGGUGAACUCCGUCAAAUUUUAUCCCUUUCCCUCAAAACUUUAUCCUGCGUGUUAAGAAAUUGACCGCCUCCGGAUUGGGCUCUCUAUCCUCGACAUCUUUGUUUGACUGAAUUGGAGCAUGUUUCUACUUUAGGAAUUUCUUUAGAUGUGACAAACUUGGUUGUGACAUGAGUUGACAGGAGUUUCAUAUGAUUACAUAUUUUAGUGCUUGCAUACUGUCAGGCAUGUACAAAAAAAUGUUGUUCUUGACAGCAAAAACACUUGGAAUUCAUCAGCUCUGAAUGAAAGGAACAGUCGACCUCACAGGUAUGUACCAGACUGCUAACCAAUGUUACUAUAACAUUGGGUGCCCUGUCAUGACUUCUCUUCCACAACUCUAGCCUAUAGUAUCGUUCCUCUAUUUCCCUAAGCUUGAAACUUGAAUGUAGAUCAAUUUACAUUUGGUGGCUGCAGAAGCUCUUGCAUUAUUGAUAUGGACUAUGACUACAGUUUGUCGUUCUGCCCUUGAAAGCUAUAUUUUCUGCUACUCCCAGUUUUUUAGUUUGUAGAAGCAGUACUGAAGGCCCUACUGCUAUGUAUUAUAAAGAAUAUUUGGUAACAAAAACUGGUAUGACCCUACUGAUGGAUAAACAGAUUGUGGUAACAUGCCCAAAUCUGGUAUGUUUUUUGGAGCAUUGUAACAGUGUGAUUUAGUUCCAUGCCAUCCUUGUCCCAACUAAUUUGAUUGCUUCUCUCAAAUGCUUAACUGCAGCACAAGUCAACCAGUGAUGUAACUGUAUAAUCAUGCAAAAAUCUAGUUUCUUGUUAGAUCCUCUAUAAGCUAUUCAACUAGCUGUCCAGUAAUACUCAGCCUUCACCAGGGGAACUAAGCUAUGGCUUUAUGUGGCACAAAUAUUCAAACAAUCCAAAUAAGAUUAUCGUGAUGAGCUUAAAGGAUCGUAACUUGGGAGAUGAACGGUUUUCUGAUUUCAAUUACAGAUAGAAAAGGCAGCUCUUUAAUCUCAACCAUUGAACAACAACACACAACAUGAGGGCCAUGACUUUGAUUCUCAUUUAAUUUGGCGUUAUUAGUGAUGAGAGCGAUGAGUCUACUGAUGAGUCCAGUUUAUGAGUCAUCCUUUGUUUGUUUCAUAUUGUCAUAGGAAAAAAUGUCAAUUCACACAUUAUGUAAUGAAUUAAGUUGUGGAUGAUAUUUUGUAAUGGUACUACUAUUUUUAAUACAGACUUAUUUCAAAUU